UACAGAGGUCUCAACCGUUGUUCGGAUUCAUUGGGCGUAAAGGGUGCGUAGGCGGUCGUGCAAGUCGGAUGUGAAAUCUCAGGGCUCAACCCUGAAACUGCAUUCGAUACUGCGCGGCUAGAGUGCUGGAGGGAGAGAUCGAUUGAAGUUCGGUAGUAGCAGAUGAAUGCGUAGAUAUCGUAAGGAAGACCAGUGGCGAAGGCGAGUCUCUGGACAGCAACUGACGCUGAGGCACGAAGGCCAGGGGAGCAAACGGG
rnacentral:rRNA from 1 species